GAUGAACGCUAGCGGCAGGCCUAACACAUGCAAGUCGAACGGUAGAAAUUAGCAAUAAUUUCGAGAGUGGCGCACGGGUGCGUAACACGUAUGCAACCUACCUCUAACUGGGAAAUAGCCCGGAGAAAUUCGGAUUAAUGUCCCAUAGCAAAUAAGUACUGCAUAGUAUUUAUUUUAAAACUACGGUGGUUAGAGAUGGGCAUGCGUUCUAUUAGCUAGUUGGUAAGGUAACGGCUUACCAAGGCUACGAUAGAUAGGGGGCCUGAGAGGGUUAUCCCCCACAAUGGUACUGAGACACGGACCAGACUCCUGCGGGAGGCAGCAGUGAGGAAUAUUGGACAAUGGUCGCAAGACUGAUCCAGCCAUGCCGCGUGUAGGAAGACGGCCCUAUGGGUUGUAAACUACUUUUAUUUGGGAAGAAACCUCUUUACGUGUAGAGAGCUGACGGUACCAUUUGAAUAAGCACCGGCUAACUCCGUGCCAGCCGCCGCAGUAA
rnacentral:rRNA from 1 species